rnacentral:rRNA from 1 species
GGAUUAGUACCCUGGUAGUCCUAGCUGUAAACGAUGGAUACUAGACGUAGGAAUUGGAUUAACGAUUUCUGUGUCGUAGCUAACGCGUUAAGUAUCCCGCCUGGGGAGUACGGUCGCAAGAUUAAAACUCAAAGAAAUUGACGGGGGCCCGCACAAGCGGUGGAGCAUGUGGUUUAAUUCGAAGCAACGCGCAGAACCUUACCCACUCUUGACAUACCAAUCGCGGAAACCAGAGAUGGAUUCCUUCAGUUCGGCUGGAUUGGAUACAGGUGCUGCAUGGCUGUCGUCAGCUCGUGCCG